rnacentral:lncRNA from 1 species
AGAUAUAUCACUAAAACCAGCACCCAAGUGAUGUGACUCUUCACCAGAGUCCUGCCCACAAGGAGGAUUGUGACAUUUCACUGGACCAGCACCCACUCAGGAAUCAAAUCCGAGUUCGUCUACAGCUGAUUCGGCAGGUACCAGGGCGUCCGCGAUGGUGGUAUUGCUCCAUAUGCCUGAGACCCUAACAAAAGCCUAAUUACAACUCAUAUGCCUGGAGCCAGGACAUGUGCAGGAUGACUCUGCCAAGAGAGGGGAUUAUUACAUAUUGCAGAGCCCAGCACCUAGGUGGAGUGACUCUCAUCUUUUUCUUCUACCCCGUAUAUAGCCAGCUUGGUGACCUACUAUUUGAGUCUAUACCCAGGCCCAGACCACAGAUGAAAUUGUGCAAUAUGUGGAACAAACACCUAAACAAUAUAUAACACCUUCCUUGGCUCUGUCUACAAAGGGCACUUUUAUAUAUCACUGGGACCAUCAACCAGGUGAUGUUAAUUAUCUUCCUGAAACCUGUCUACAAAGAGAGUUGUGUCGUAUACCUAGGCCCGUCAUGUAAGUGAUGUCAGUCCCUUCUACUGCCUUGGCCCUGCACUUACAGUGCAUUGUGACACAUAACAAGGUACUGCACACAGACGAUGUGAUUCUCCUUUUUGGGUUCUGCCAAAAGGAAGCAUUGUAAUAAAUCGCUUGGCUCAG